AACGAACGCUGGCGGCAGGCCUAACACAUGCAAGUCGAGCGAGGACUUCGGUCCUAGCGGCUGGCGGGGGAGUAACGCGUGGGAACGUGCCUUUUCCUUCGGAAUAGCCCUGGGAAACUGGGGGUAAUACCGGAUGAGCCCUUUGGGGGUAAGAUGCAUCGGCGAAGGAUCGGCCCGCGUUGGUUUAGGUAUUUGGUGUGGGAAUGGCCCAUCUAGGCUACGAUCCAUAGCUGGGUGGAGAGGAUGAGAAGCCACACUGGGACUGAGACACGGCCCAGAAUCCUACGGAACGCAGGAGUGGGGAAUCUUAGACAAUGGGGGAAACCCUGAUCUAGCCAUGCCGCGUGAGCGAUGAAGGCCUUAGGGUUGUAAAGCUCUUUCAGCUGAGAAGAUAAUGACGGUACCAGCAGAAGAAGCCCCGGCUAACUCCGUG
rnacentral:rRNA from 1 species